rnacentral:rRNA from 1 species
AUGAACGCUGGCGGCAGGCCUAACACAUGCAAGUCGAACGGAGUUAUAUUGUAGCUUGCUAUGGUAUAACUUAGUGGCAGACGGGUGAGUAAUGUAUAGGAAUCUACCUAGUAGUACGGAAUAAUUGUUGGAAACGGCAACUAAUACCGUAUACGCCCUACGGGGGAAAAAUUUAUUGCUAUUAGAUGAGCCUAUAUUAGAUUAGCUAGUUGGUGGAGUAAUAGCCUACCAAGGCAAUGAUCUAUAGCUGAUCUGAGAGGAUGAUCAGCCACACUGGAACUGAGAUACGGUCCAGACUCCUACGGGAGGCAGCAGUGGGGAAUAUUGGACAAUGGGCGAAAGCCUGAUCCAGCCAUGCCGCAUGAGUGAAGAAGGCCUUUGGGUUGUAAAGCUCUUUUAGUGAGGAAGAUAAUGACGGUACUCACAGAAGAAGUCCUGGCUAACUCCGUGCCAGCAGCCGCGGUAAUACGGAGAGGGCUAGCGUUAUUCGGAAUUAUUGGGCGUGAAGGGGGCGUAGGCGGAUUA